ensembl:lncRNA
GAUGUAUACAAGAAGAUUGUCUGCAUAUAAGGACACCUUGUGAGUUAUGUCGCCCCUUAGUAUUCCCUUAAUCCUCUCCUCCGCCCGCAGGGCGAUAGCAAGAGGCUUAUACAGAUAUAAGCAACCCUACCCUAUACGGAUAAACAGCAAUCCUGCCUGGCCCUCUGUGGAGAGGAAGUAGCUGGAGAAUAACUACAGGGAGUGUCUGACCCAAGGAGAUAAACUCAGGGAUUUGAAAGGCCGUCGCUCAUCCAGGUCUGCCACCACUUCACGGUUGAAUUUGACAAAGACCAGUCAGACCUCUAUCACCCCUCCCAAGUGUUCCAGGCUAUCUCUGGUCCCUGUCCCCUUCUCCUCCUCCUCUUCUCCCAAGAGGCUGGCGCAAAGCUCCUCAUCAUCAGCUAGUAACCUUAAGAGUCCCUUUAGCCUGAGUAUGUUCAGCUCUAAGGCUACUACCAUUCACUGAGCCCACGUUGAUCACUGACUUUUCAUCUUUGACCUUCUGACCUUCCAGUUGACCCCAGGAGACAGGAGGUUAACCCCCUCAACCGCUGGAGAAAUGAGCACGAUAGUCUCUGUUAUAAAUGCACGUUAAAUAACAUUUAAUAAUACAACAAAAAAAAUCUAAUCCACCCCUGAGACACUGUAAAAAAUCAUAUUUGUAACAAUUGGAUUUGUAGACAUGAUCUCGUUUCAAUCAAUGUAAUUGUUUGUUUUCAAAAUGGGUUUAUUAUCAUUGUAAUUGUGUGCAAGGAGAAUGUUUAUCAUGGCUUUCUCUUAUUCAGUUAUUUAAUUGAUUUAUAUUGUUUGAUUGACGCUGUAAAAGAGGAC